GCCAGGUCUCUAAUUGGUUCAUCAAUGCAAGAGUAAGGCUCUGGAAACCAAUGGUGGAGGAAAUACACAUGCUGGAAACACGGCAAGCACAAAAAUCUUCACAAAGGGUGGAACAAAAUGCUAACAAAUCAAGUGAUCAGGUACAUCUUUCAAACUCCGUUGCAUCAGAUGACCCGUCAGCCUCCAUCCAAAGGGUUCAAGACAUCCUCUCAAAGCGCACUAGAAAUGAUCUUCCUGAUUUACCUCCGGGGAAUGAGGAAGCAUUGAAUUUGUCUUACAACAGUAUGUCGAGCAAUCCGCCUGUAGGAGUUGGUAUAAGGGCAGCAGGUGGAAGCAGCAGUGUUUCCUUAACACUAGGCCUUCACCAGAAUAAUGGGAUAGGUUUGUCAGAGCCCUUCCCUAUGAAUGCAGCACAACGUUUUGGUCUCGGUCUUGAGACAAGUAGCGAGGGAUUUGUUAUGGGGAGUUUUGAAGCACAAAAUCGGCACUUUGG
rnacentral:misc_RNA from 1 species